rnacentral:rRNA from 1 species
UGGGAACUACCUUAUUCUACGGAAUAACACAGAGAAAUUUGUGCUAAUACCUUAUAAUGACUCCGGUCCAAAGAUUUAUCGCCGAAGAUGAGCCCGCGCUAGAUUAGUUUGUUGGUGAGGUAAAAGCUCACCAAGACUACGAUCUAUAGCUGGUCUUAGAGGAUGAUCAGCCACACUGGUACUGAGACACGGACCAGACUCCUACGGGAGGCAGCAGUGAGGAAUAUUGCGCAAUGGGGGAAACCCUGACGCAGCCAUGCCGCGUGAAUGACGAAGGCCCUAGGGUUGUAAAGUUCUUUCAGAUGCGAAGAUAAUGACGGUAACAUCAGAAGAAGCUCCGGCUAAAUUCGUGCCAGCAGCCGCGGUAAUACGAAUGGAGCGAGCGUUGUUCGGAAUCAUUGGGCGUAAAGCGUAUGUAGGCGGACAUGAAAGUCAGAAGUGAAAUCCCGAGGCUCAACCUCGGAAUUGCUUUUGAAACUCCAUGUCUUGAAUCCCGGAGGUAGACGGAAUUCCGAGUGUAGAGGUGAAAUUCGCAGAUAUUCGGAGGAACACCAGAGGCGUAGCGGUCUACUGGACGGGUAUUGACGCUGAGAUACGAAAGCGUGGGGAGCAAACAGGAUUAGAUACCCUGGUAGUCCACGCCGUAAACGAUGUGUGCUAGUUGUCGGGCUCUAAGAGUUCGGUGACGCCGCUAACGCAUUAAGCACACCGCCUGGGGAGUACGGCCGCAAGUUAAAACUCAAGGAAUUGACGGGGACCCGCACAAGCGUGGAGCAUGUUCUUUAAUUCGAAGCAACGCGAAGAACCUUACCUACACUUGACAUCCCUCUUGGGACUUUCAGAGAUGAUUGUCUUCGG